AUAUAUAUACAGUUGUGGUCAAAAGUUGACAUACACUUGUAAAGGACAUAAUGUCUUGGCUCUCUUGAGUUUCCAGUUAUUUCUUCAACUCUCUGAUAAGUAAUUGGAACAGAUACUUCUUUGUCACAAAAAACAUUCAUGACGUUUGGUUCUUUUAUGACUUUAUUAUGGCUUAACAGAAAAAGUGACAAAAUCUGCUGGGUCAAAUAUAUACAUACAGCAACAUGAAUUAGCAAUUUUAGUGACUUAGAAAGUAGUGUCAAUGAAAUGAGCUUCAUGGCCUCUUAACUUCUUAUGAGUGGUUAUGAGUGACUACAGCUUCUCUGAGGCCAUUUAAAUAAAGCUCAUUGGAUACAAACGCCCACAAACGCUACAAUGGGAAAGUCAAAGGAGCUCAGCAUGGAUCUGAAAAAGCGAAUCAUUGACUUGCUAUCACCUGCUGCUGAGAGAAAAUUGUUCAGGAGGGUGAAGAGUCAAGCGAGAAGCACCAAAAAGCAGAUCUGCCAAGAAUUAGAAGCUGCUGGAACACGGGUGUCAGUGUCCACAGUCAAGCGUGUUUUGCAUCUCCAUGGACUGAGUGGCUGCCGUGCAAGAAGGAAGCUCUUGCUCCAAAAGCGGCACCUUAAGGCUUGACUCAAGUUUGCUGAUGAUCACGUGGACAAAGAUAAGACCUUCUGGAGGAAAGUUCUGUGGUCAGACGAAACAAAAAUCUAGCUGUUUGGCCACAAUGCCCAGCAAUGUGUUUGGAGGAGAAAAGGUGAGGCCUUUAACCCCAAGAACACCAUGUCUACUGUCAAGCUCGGUGGUGGUAGUAUUAUGCACAGCUGUAUGUAUAUUUUUGAUCCAGCAGAUUUGAUCACUUUUUUUGUUAACCCAUAAUAAAGUCAUAAAAGAACCAAACUUUAUGAAUGUUUUUUGUAACACAGAAGUAUCUGUUCAAAUCACUCUAUCAGAGAAAAAUCACAGUUGUAGAAAUAACUGGAAGCUCAAGAGAGCCACGGCAUUAUGUUCUUUACAAGUGUGUGUAAACCUUUGACCACAACUGUAUACGUAUUACAGAAUGCAGAAUUCAGGGGUCUGCAGGCUGAGCGGGUUUCUAGACCUUUCCUCUCCUUAGCUCCUUCUAUUCUUCAUGAGAAAUGUAUUUACAGAUCAUUUGGAUAAAUUCAAAUGUAGUGUUCUGAAAAGGUAAAAUAUUUUUUUUAUGUGAAUUGCCUCAAUUUACAGGGGGAAUUUUCUCAAGAUUAGUAAAACCUGUUAUUAGACCUUAUCGCUGAAACUAUCUUGGUUUAUAGCGGUAUCAGCGGCUUUAAAUACAGAAUUCAUUAGGCUUUGAUGACAUUCACAGGAUAAUAUUUUUUUACAUGUUAACAAAGACACUUCACAAGUGCUUUUCUUCCACGAGCGUGCGCUGAAAGCAAUACAGUGAUGCAACACAGUCAAAUUCUAAACACAUCACAUAAAGAAACCAAAUGACAACCAGGCCAUGGGGACAGAUACUAUGUUGAGUAAUCAGUAUUGGUAGAAGUUCCAGAAUAAAGCACACUUUUCUGCAUCUAUUUGAAGAGGCUGUGCUGCCUUAAGGAAACGCGUUAGCCCUUAGAAAUGAAGGAAAUUAAUGAAUGCGAUUAUGGCUUUGUCUAAUAGUUUAUGCAUCACAAUUUCCUGUUUUUAAUCACUACAGUAGGAGUGUGCAGCCGAAGGGCACUGUUUUAAUUCUUUUUGUGUUACUAGCAAAAGCAAGGGGGGGAAAAAUUAUAAGAUUAAUAAUUGUUUUGCCAGGAUUUAAUAACAAGCAAUAAAAAUCAGCCAACCAGAAUGUUCAUCGUGCCAUCAUACCCAAUCUGGGUGCUAUAAUCAGAAACCCUCCCUUUAUGUGCAAUUUGUUUCUUUUCCUCCUUUUUUUCUAUAUAACCGCUGAUAAUAUUGAACUUUGAUUUCCAUUUGGGAUAAAUAUUUGAAUUUGCUUAUGAAAGGGGCUGCUGUCACAUGAAUUGAGAAUGAUCUUCAUGGCUCAUUAUGAUUUCUGGCCAAUGACAGACAAGCUCAUUGAAUAUUUACGGCCUCUUGAGGAGACAUUCAGAGGUAACACAUCAUAGCUGAUAUGCACCUGCUAUUUAACCCUUUGUGUGUGUGUGUUGGUUGUGUGUGUGUGUGUGUGAGAGAAUAUGCCUAUGCGCGCGUGUUUAAGUGUGUCUGCGUACAACAGGAAGACAGAGUGACAAGGGUGGCUCGCUCACAUGGCACCAAAUUGGAGCAGACGUUCUAUCAGUAACACAGAAGUUCUCUCUCUCUCUCUCCACUUCCACAAGUCCUCCUACUCUCGCUCUUUUCCUCGGUUCACUACAUCCUCAUCAUCUCCCUCCCUCCUCCCCUCUUUUGUCUUAGCCUUUUAAAGUAGGACACUCAGAGCACAAGCAUCUGCCAGCAGACUUCAUCUCAUCAGCUAUGUCUUGUUAAAAUGAUAAGAAACAGAAACAUGUUUUAUUAUUGCAAGGACAUUGUUUGGUACUUUUACUACUUUAAUUUACUCAAGUAUGCAGUUUCAGAAGGUAAAACUGUUCGACAAGCACUUCAUCAUAAACAAACAUGGGCUUUACUACACAUUGUCUGCCCCUAAAAGAGAGAUGACAUUCUCGCUGUAUAUCCAAAUUGUGUGUCAGAAUAUCCAUGACGUUCAUUAGGACGCUUGUGGCAUAUCCAUGCAGAACACUGAAUGCUGUAAUGUUACAUAUAGCAGGUACAAUGUUUACCAUCUUCACUGUGUCAGUUUAGCAUAUUUGCAUUUACUAAUUAACACUGAACAGGGGGCGCAGAGGAUGAUGUGAGUUACAGUUUUAAAUAUAUUUUGUUACAAAGUAUGAAUCACUAGACAAUGGUACUGCCAUAAUUCAUCCUCUGACAACCACAAAUAUCUGAAAAAAAUGGAACAGAAAUCCCUCCAAUCGUACAUCUUAUAUGCUAUUUGAUAGUUAUUUGAUAAUUUCUCCCUCCACAAUGUCAACCAUAUGGUGGUGAUGGAGAAAAGUCAGGGCUUUACCUAUAAAAUACAUCGUCUGGCAACCAGGAAUUUUUAGAAUGUCAAAGCAUACUGUACAUUGCAAAGCCCCAGAGCUACACAGCGACUCAUGAUUGAUCUAAGAGUUCUCUAUUUCGUCACCUUUAUUGUUAACAUUUGAAAAGUUCAAACUGUAUGGGCUCCUUCACACACAAAAUAUUGUUUGUAAAAUAUAAUAAUAAUAAUAAUUUCUACUGUUUCAUGUUUUGGCAACACAAUGUUGCAGUGGCACUUAAUUUCAAGCCCUCAGAACAUAAAGCCUUCCAAAGGAGUUGACUACCUGAAAGGCCUCCUGUUCUCCUGCUUUCCAGUCUUGUGGGUGUUCCAGCGCGGCAGCGCUGAGGUCCAUCUGGAAAAGCUCACAGCGUCUCAUAGCCGCUGCCAUCACCUCUCACAGUAUUUCACUGUUUUAUGGAGACAACCAGCUCUGGAGCUCCCUGUCUCCCUUUGGAGCUUCUUUGGAAACAUAAGCUAGCGUUUUAUUUACAACCUCUGAGCCGGGCUUUCUCCCCACCGAGGGAGGUGUAUGCGUUGUGAAUAUUCUAUGAUUCAGGAAUAUCAGUUGACAGAUUGCGAGAGAGGUAGGAAGGCAUUGUGCUUUGCCGUGUCCACGGAUCCGAGCGCACAGUUUACUGGUGUCAGCGGGCCCCCUGCGGCCGCAGUCCUCUGCAGCCCUGCAUUUCACGCUAGAGCUUUUUCAUGACCCAAACAUGGGGCCUCUACCAGGUUUGUUGGUUUUGUUCUACAGUACAUACAGUAUCAGUCAAAACUUUGGACACAUUUUCUCAUUCAAUUCAAUGAGAAAGUGUGUCCAAACCUUUAAGUGGUACUUAAGGCUGGAGCAUGCUUCGGCGUCUGCGUUUGCGUCUGCGUCGUUGCGUCAACGCACUCGUUUCAUAUCAUGGUUCUGCGUGUGUUGCAGAGCAAUUCACCGCCAGAACAACAGGCGGAGUAACGUGUUUUUGUUGAAGACGACCUAGAGAGUCACGUGUCGAAAGCGACGCAAGCCUAGAAAAAUGGCUCGACACACGCAAGGACACAAGGAGGUGUGAAAAGGCACGCAAGGGACACGCAAGGGGCUUGCGUCUGCGUACAUGGACGAUUAUUAUAGUUUGACUAGACGUUUUAUUUUAGAAUCUGGGCAUGUUUUAUGUGGUAAUAGAUUCUUCAUCUUCAGGUAAGAGGUGCCGGGUCAUCCUGUGUGGAUGAACUUCUUAUGCUAAUUACAAUUGUGAAAGGUUUUCUUACCUUGAUUGUCUUUAACAUUUCCAUUUUUAACAUUUCCAUUAGAGCUCCAAAGUCACGCAUUAAUCCUGCACAUUUAAUGAAUGCACUUAAACCAAAUUUAUUAAAACAAGCCUAGGCCUGGUUUAAACCAGGAGGCUACCUGGCUACCGAACAAGCUAACAUCGACCCGAAGGCACUUCACCUUACGUGGCCUCGUAAAAAAAAAUCCAAUUAGAAUACUACAAACCUGCAUCGUCAAUUAUGUUUCAAAGGAAACAUUUGCUUUGAAAUAUGCUUAUAUUUUGAGUAAAUCAUUUUGAGUUAUCUUGAAGGAUUGUAAAGCGGAACGUGUUGGAACCAUACAGGUCAACACAAUCUAGUUAAACAUUCAACAAGUUAUAGAACAUUUACAUGCUAAAAUGGCAUACUGUUCCCUGAGAAAACUGUCAAAAAUAAACCAUCAGUGUGUUAAUAUACAUCAACAUUUACCUGUGUGCAUACACCGAUAUUGCUGUGCAUAAAGAGUUUAGAAAGAGAGUGUGGAAGGGCACAUUGUGUGUCUAAUCUGCUGUUUGUAUUUUAGUGUGUGUAGUAUAAGAGUGCGUCUCUGAGUCAGCGACCUCAUAUAUGUGUGUAGGAGUGUGCGUGUGUGUGUGGGUGACAUGCUAGCAGCUCCACUUGGCCACCUGACAGGCCGCUGUCUGAUUAUAAAGGCACUUUACUGGUAUUAAUAUUAAUGCCACUCCAUUUUAUUCAGGAUGUCUGCCUGCCACUCCGAUGAGACUGCACUUUAGCGCUUUAAAUGGUGUGUGUGUUUGACAGGAGGUGUGUGUUGGAGUGUGUACACAUGCAUAAUGAUAGCAUGUGUGUCUGCCUGUGUCUCUCCUGUACAAAUGCAGUUGUCAGAAAGAACGAAUCCUUCUAGUCCAUUAGCAGCAGGGCAGUUUUAAAUUGACCCCCCCAAUAUUUUUAAAUAAAAUUAUCUUCAUCUCUCUCCUGCACUUUUGCAUCCUCAAAAGUUUGUUUCAUAGUUCUAAAACAGAUGAAAUACAAUUUUUGCGCCCAUGCAAAACCAGGGAAGAUGUGUCUGCUGGAUAUUAUAGUCUUUGUUAUCUUUGAAAGUACCUUCAAUCAGAAUGCAGAACAAGGUUUAUUUUGUAAAGUUUUUCCACAUCAAAGAGGGGCAUCAACCGUGUAAUGUAAAAUACUCUCUUUACUCUCACAAGUAGUAGUAUAAUGUAAUCCGGAAUGGCAAAUUUUAUAACUCCUUCAACCUUAACAAAGGCAGAGAAUACCAGAUCCGCUCUCUCCGUUCUUACAUUACAUAACAUGUCAUUUUACCUUUCACAAUAAAAGCCCUAGAAAUAUACAGUAUACUGCGUAACUGCGUGUUUAGCAGAGGGAAAUUACAUUUUGUGGUUUCAGCAAAGAUAACUUAACAAAAAGUGUACAGUAGCUUGUGCCAGCUAUCACCAACCACUGGGCCGGGGGGCAACCUUUGCACCUCAAAACAUCAUAUACGGAGCUAACGGUCUAGAUGGCUAGAUUGCAGAUUAAAAAAAAGAUUUUACCGAUUAACAAAGCUAAUUAUUUCUAUGUCGAAGAUGUGCUCAAUAAUUUACGAUGAUAUCACACAAAAAUGAAAAUCAUAUAAAUCAUUCAGAAUUCCGAUGUACAAUGGCAAAGCCAAACUUUUUGCAUUGUGAGCUAUUUUUGGUGACUUCUGAAGCUGGUAGGCCCCUCCAAACCUGCAACCUCCUUUAUGUGCAUCUAUCUUGUUUUUCUCUUGUUGUUGGUCGUGGUGUAGGUCGUCUCCUCCUCUGUCUGCCAUCUGGGAAGUCUCUCCCUCCAUCCAUUAUGGCCAUCCAGGGACAGAAAUCCUUCAACACCAGCGUGCCCCACAAUCCCCACACAUGUCACAUGCAGACAUAUACAUGAACAUGUCAGCAAACACAUAUAAUACCAACUAACGUCAGCGCACUAAACUCAAAGAAGCACGUGGACUUUUAAGUGAACACACAACGAUGAUGCAUUAACAAAAAACAAAACAAAUAUAUCUUUGGCCAAAGUAUCCGAAGCCCUCUGUUGGAUUCUCCUAAAUAGAGUAAGAGUCCCCUCUCUCCUCACUUGCUCGACGAUCCUCUCCUGAUUCUCUCCGCGCUCCACUACGACAAAAAAGAAAAAAACCUGGUUCUACAACUUGACUGGAGUUUCUGGGCAUAUUACGCUGGACACUGUGAAAAUGAAAGCUUCUUUUCCAGCAGAGGAACUCGGGUGCAUCAAUAACAUUUCUCAGUCCUAUACUAUAUAAAAUGUAUAACAAAAAUAGGAAUUGCUUUCCCCCUCCGCAAUUUAAAAUAACGCAAUGCACAUUGUCUCCCAGGGCCACUCUCAUUCAUUUCUGACAUGCUAAUCCUAGGCCCUCAUCUGUGCCAAAUCUGCACGACAUCAAUGGACUGAACGAAAGGUGCCGCUCAUGGUUGAUAAAGCAUUGGAACGGGGUAACUUCUUUUAUGAUGACGUGGUUAAUUCUUCUUUUGACAAAUGCCGCUUUGGCCGGUACUUCAAAGGAGCAAGCAAAGCGGCGACUGUGGGUGAGUGGAGAGCACGGCUGUCCUCUAAUCAAAAGAUCGGCCACUCGUGUGUCGAUGUGUCCUUGGACAACACACUUAACCCAAACAUUGCUUGCGUAGCUAUGAGUACGGCGUAUGAAUGAUGUAAAUGCUAAAUACUGAUUGGAAGGUGGCAUGUGUAUGGUAGUAUGUAUUUGUAUGGGUGUAUUGGUGAGCAUGGAGUGUUAAGGGGCUUUGAGUUGUUGUGAAGAAUAGAAAAUCCCUAUCCGAGUAGUCCAUUUACCAUUCACCAUUUGUGUUCAGUCUAAUUAAUUCUUGGGAAUCAAUACACUUCGAACUUAUAUGGUUGGGACGCAUCAGUCCAGGGUGCGAGAUCGGUAUCGGGCCAAAACGUAACCAUUAGUAACUUACAGAUACAACCAAAUUACACAAUAAAUACAGUUUCUAUAUUGAGAACAAAGACGCCGCCAACCCUUGUCUUGCUGUCCAAGGUGCUGAAGAAGGUAGUUGCUCCUCAUCGUCAGGACCACCUCAAGCACAGUGAGUUAAAAAAAUUCCAUUCAGCUGAUGACAGCCGAUGCAGGAUCACCCUCACUCCUCAUCCUCCUGGACCUAGCUGCUGCAUACAGUAGAUCAAACUGUCCUGAUAGAGCGUCUGUGAUCAAGUGGUUUCAGUCCUACCUUUCUGGCAGAACUGAAUAUGUCUCACUGGGGGUAUAUCUCACUGGGUGGAGUCCAGACUGCUCCGUGUCUCAUGCGGUGCUCCGCAAGGGUCGGUCCUUGGUCCCAAUCUCUUCAUCAUUUGCAUGCUUCCCCUUGUUUGUGUCAUCAGCAAACUUGUCCCUCCAAAAAUGUCCUUCUACUGUUAUGCUAACGACUGAGGGCUCUACAUCAAGACUGCCCUAAGCCCGGAAACCGAAGCCCUCCUCGUUGGUAUCCCACACCAGGUUCAGUCAACCUCCAUAACCCAUCUCACCUUUGACAGUCAGGUCAUAGCCCUCUCCUCCACAGUCAUUAAACUGAGAGUUAAGUUUGACAUAUCCACACCUCGCCCCACUUUGACCUUGUCAGAUGCAGAGAAGCUUGUCCACGCCUUUAUUUCCUCAAGACUGGACUAUACUGUAACUUACUUAUUACUGGGAUCACUGGCAAGAAUAUCCAGAAACUGCAAUACAUCCAAAACAUCGCUACCCAGAUCCUGAUGAAAGUAAAUAAGAGAGCGCAUAACCCCCAUAACAACCAUCCUACACUCACUACACUGGCUGCCUGCCUCAUUCUGGAUUGACUACAAAGUUCUGCUACUCACUCUUAGAUGCAUUAAUGGAUUAAUUAAUGCACCUUCCAGUCUGCAAGAAGUAAUUACUCCCCAAACCUUGACCUGCAUCAUCAGAUCUGCAAGCAGCUCGCUUCUCCGGGUCCCUAACACCAAGCUUCGCACCAUCGGCGACCAGGGCUUUUACUCAGCAGCGCCACGUAAAUGGUCUCCCUGACCACCAGGGCAACAAAGUCCUGGAUUCCUUCUUUUUCAGGGCAACAUUUUUCCUGUUUUUCCACUGGCUCUACAUUUGGUUCCUUCUCCAUCAGGAGCAUUGAGCUCGAGACAGAGAGAAAGCGAGGAGAGGAUGACGACAAUGGCAGGCUGGAGCUGAGUGCAAAGCUCCGGGUUAUCAAACUCAUUAAUCUACAUGCCAUGGUGAAUAAUUGUGCGUUGAAUUUAUCUGCCAGCCUGAUAGCUACAGCUCAGCUCUCGCCGUGCCACAAUCGACUCUGCAUUAUGUGUAAUGUGUAAUAACUAUUACACACUUUGUCCUGAUAGGGAUGGAGGUGGGUGGUUGAGGUGGAAAACAAAACACUCCUGCUUUUGAUGCUUGAUUCCGCCUCUUUCUGCCUUCAACCAUUGUGUUGCAUGGAUGGAACCCAACAGGAAACAAAGCAGCCCCGAUGUAGAGCUUGACCUGCAUGUGUUGAUAUUCAACAUCCCGAGGAGGUGUUUUUCAUUUACACAAAAAACAAACAUGAUUUAUAUUUAAUAAUUAGUGUUGUCAACAUAAACUAAACAUAAACAUAAAUUAAUCCAUGCGAUUAAUGUGGCCGAAAUUUAUGCAACCGUACUUUUGUUUACUUCCGGUUUACGUUCAGAACCAGACGUAAACCAGAAGUUGACCACUAGCAACACAAUGUUAUGGGUGAGCGAGCUAACCAUACCAAGAUGGCCGUCAUGUGCGGACGUUUGACUUAGUUGGCCGGCAACGCGAACCAGACAUCUAGCCUUUAUGUAUAUCUAUGUAUGGACCACUUAAAGUAGCGCUAUGCUAAACUUGCUGCUAGGCUAAGCUAGCUGCUAGGCUACUUACAUCUCAACAUCUAACAUUACCCUGCACGGCACACAGUCUGCAGAGGACCAUCACUGUGUCCUAAGACCGUGGUUUGAAAAUGUCCUGUCUAAAUGUGAGAGAGAGAUUGUUGGCACUUCAAACACAGCCGUUAAAUGAUGAGCAAAGUGCACGAGGACAGCAGGAAGAGUCGCUAGUUCAACAUGUUCCACCCGGUGGAAUUCUGCCUCCAAGAUGAUGAAAUGGGUGUCGUUUUGUGUUUAAAAUAACAUUAACAAUUAAACAACAGUGUCUAAAAUGCAUGCUUUCUAAAGUGAUUACUCAUUACUUUUAAGAUUUAGUCUUUAGAAGAAAAACAAACAAAAUUACAAACAACAUUGUAACAACAACAACAAUCUUCGUUAAUCGCCAUUAAACAAGAUCAAACUAAUUAAUCGCACAUUUUGAAGACUCUAUUGACAGCCCUAUAAUUAAUGUCUGUUCUUGCCCGUAACAUCUGCAAGAGUGUGUGAUUCAUUAUAUUUCCUAAAUGAGUUACAUUUACUUUAAAUAACUAGUGGAAAAAUAAUGAAUCUUUUUUUUAUGGAAAACAAACAAACUGCUCAACCCUGGUCUUGCUCACUGAAGCCCAGUGGCGAGGGAAUGCAACCUGAAACUCCAAACCAUGGACGAUGUCUUCUGAGACCAAAUGCUCUAAUGCCGACCACCGCAACACGAAUGAAACAAUAAACAAGAUGGAACCCAAAGGGGUAACGUCCCUUAACAUAACAUGGGAGCACUGUUUGUUCCAAAACCACUUUAAGUGCACCAGUUUGAGCGAAACAGCAACAAUCCUUAAUGUCAGACUGCUCGACAGGGAAUCUAGGGUCCAAAAUAUAGCGUUCACUACUACGUACAUCCCAUUAACACAAACGAUUAUGGGUCACGUCUCAAAAGAGAGGAAGACGCAGGCAAAAAUAUAGGGUCAUUAAUUUGAUAACUAAAGGUGGGUGGCAAUACACCCCAAAACACAACAGAGAACAGUUACAAGUGACAAGAGACUGUUGUCUGGCUGGUCACAGACAAAUAAUGCCCAGGAGAGCAAGGGCUAUUUCAAAGGCGGAGCUUUUAUCCUUGGAAAGCACCGGGCCCCCAGUUACCUAUUGAGUGCAGGAGACAGACAGACCAGAACAGGCUAGGGAACCGUCACAGCGAUUAGCUGGGUUGACCGUAGUGGAAUGCUAUGCAGAUUAAGUGACAUAUAUUUCUCUAAGGAGAAGGUGGAGACCAUAAACAUGAUUACAAAGAAAGUCCUUAACGCCCUCAAUCUAGUGAGAAAGUUGCAAAGUAGCUCCCUCCCAUGACAUUAUUAUGAUGAACGUAAAAAAAGAACAGGGCUAUGGAUAGCCCUCACAGCUAGCAGCUUAUGAAAGACUCCAGUAAUGCACAAUGAAUUUGAUUGUAUUGGUUGCAUGUGAAAGGCGAUGUUAAAAUCUAUAAUAAGAAUAUUACAAAGAUACAUUACUAUUGUUAAAGGAUAUUCAUGUGUUCACAUUUAAUUUGCACUACUCACAGUGGUUUAGUUAGUUAUUUCCUCACACAGACAAAUGGUUUUGUUUGCAUGUUUUAUAUCACAGCUUCACAGUUUGAACAUAGAUACACACACUCCGUCGCACAAAGCAACAUGUGUAAACAUCUCAAAGCUGCUCGUUGGUUCUUUUGCCUUUUUGAUCUGAGGUGUAUUUCUCUCGAUGAAAUAUGAACCACAUGAAAGAGAAAAAAACAAACGACUUGUUGGCAAUGGCAUGUGAACACGGCAAACAGGUAAACAGGCUGUGUGUUUAUCCAGCUCUUAAUGCUCUUUAUCUUCAAACAACCCUUUGCCACCUUCUCCGAGUGCGUGAGUGUGACUGUCUGUGUGUGAGCAAUCCAGAAAUAUUUGGUCUGUCACACAGAAGGAAUUAUUGUUUGUAAUCCAAAAUGUAAUCAUCACUGUGAUAACAUUAGUUUCUAGACAACAGAGGUACAAACCAUUCAAUGUCAUGACAUUUGAAAAAACACCAUUGGUCACAUUUAUAACCACAAUGCAGCAGUAUGUGCCAAAUAAUGGCAUUGCGGUAGCAGUUUUAGUUUUAGUUUCCUCAGGCAAGGUUUGCUAAGCUAAAUGUAUUCUUUCACAUUUGGCUUUAGUCCAGAAAUGACUAGUCUUUUUCUCAUCAAAUUGUCUCUUGUGACUGGAUUCUAGUAUGUUGCCUGUGGAAACCAAAAGUCCAAACAUGUUUUUUCUCAUCAUUUAUCCACCAUCAAUUAAUUGUUCAUCAAGACUAUCGCAUAGCUGACGGAUAAAGAGACCAGUAACUCUCAAACUACAUGGGUAAGUAAAGUUUGUGUGAUAUCCCACUCGAAGGUAUUAAUUGGCUUUCAUGCGCUCUGCUACGAAAGACAUUAACACUCGUUAAGUGCAUACAACCUUUUAAAAUCAAACUGCAGUUCUACUCGGCUAAAGGUAGCCCACAAAAGGCUCAUCUAUGGUUGCUGGAUAGCCAUGACAAAUAGCUUAUUUCACCGUUUUGAUUACAUUUCCACUAAAGUUUAUUAAAUAAUUUCAUCAACUUUGAACAGUCUUGAUGUAUACAUUGAAUUACUUUGGUCUUUUUAUCAACCGUCACAUCCAGUAUUUCAAUUUCGAUAAAAUUGUCCUCUAGUAGUAAGUUGGGGGCCUAUUAUUGUGGUGUUUGGAUGCUCAGAGUGCGCUUGUGUGGGUCGUGUGUGUGUGUGUUUGUGUGCACAACUUGUCCUUGAGACAACCUCAGAUCUGACUCAAAGACAGCAUUGUGUUUAAUUUGUUUUUUACCUCAUGGAAGGUCAUCAAACCUGCAGCAGAAAGUUGGGUGGGAGAGUGGCUGGGUGGGGGUCAGGGGAUGACCAUCCCCUCUGAUUAUAAGAGCCUAAACCGACUCUCGACUCAAUGCCGCAUUUAUCAUUUUCAAACAGCUAAUAUCUUCGGAUGAAGGGGUAAAGGAUGAUGACCCUACCCCGCUGCUGCAGCGGUGGACCGAGGGCAGGUCGGAGGGAGACAGGGAAGACACGGGUCAACCUUCAGAUGCCCCAGGCAUUGUCCAGACAGAGAGAGGGAGAGAGAGGGGUGAUGUAUUUUAAAAAGCUCUCCUGACCUGUAGGCACCCUGUCCAAUGUUGGCUUAAAUGGACAAGCCAUAGUUUUAGAAUGUGCUUUGUGUAGCAGAUUGUGAAAUGCAUUUCAAAGGACACCCAUGUUCAUCACACACACACUCACAUGCGUAGACACACACUUAUUUAAGCUGCAUAGGGCAUCGGUGUCAGCCUGAAGGUUUCUAGCAAGGUCCUCUGGGUAAUUCCUAUUCACCUUGUCCGGGGUCUGUAUGAACGGAGAAGUGUGUAUAUUAUGUAUGUGUGUGUGUGUGUGUGUGUGUGUGUGUGUGUGUGUCUGUUUGGACACUUAUUUUGCUGUAUCUGCGUGUGAUCAAACUCAUUUUUAUGAGACAGAAGUACAGAAAAUGAAAGGAAGUUUUGGAGGUCACAAACAAAUCGCAUCCUCUACCUUGUGCUCUGAGUGUGUUUGUGUGUGUGAGACUGUAUUUGUGUUUGUUUGCACUUUGGUGUGCGCUCCAAUAUAGUAGCAAAUUGAGGGGAGCGUGCUGCUGUGACUACAGGUAUUUGUGGAGACUGUCUAUAUGCAAAUGAUAAAAGGAUGUGAACAUAAUGACCCGGCUUUGAGAAAGACCUGGGCUCUUUGGCUGUUUAGAAUAAGGUGGAAGCAAUAAGAAAAACCUCAUACGGCUGCAGUGGAGAAUGCUGGGAAGGGAAUAUCUGGCAAGGACAAAAAUCCAUUUUGUGAUUGUUUGCGUGUGGACAUACGCAAAAAACACUCUACAACAUAUAAAAACCAAAAACGGAAUGGAUUUAAAACCAAUUUAAACCCUCUGGGCAGCUGUUAGUUUGUUUUAUUGAGGCCUAUAAGUAUUACGCAAUGUUGGCUUACGCCAGGGUUAAGUAAUUUAUGUGCUUUAAAUGAUCCAUGUUCUAGAAAUCCAUGCAAUGCAAACUGUUGUUGGGAAAUAAAACCCAUUUCAAUUUCAAUUCAGCCCAUUUCCCGCCAUGUGGAGCAGCAGGUUUGCAGCUUUUGUUUAUCUAACUGCUUAACCCUGCAUUCCUAGGUUGAGGUUUACUUUCUUUUCAAUCUGACUGCUUUUGAGCCUAUUUUCUGACCCAUUUCCAUUAUAGUUGAUAAAAAAAGGGAGAAAGUGUUGGAUAUGAAUUAAGAUGCUGAAAAUCUGAGUUUUCUAAAACUGUGCAGACACAGGUGGACCUAAGCCACGUUCAAAGCCUGCUGUAGACCUGGAUUUUUGAUAAACUGCCCCCUACGAUUGGGGAGAAUUACGCUUUGUUGUGGAGUAUAAGAGAUGGUUGUUUGUUUGGGGAAAUUCACCACAGCUGUGGGGAAACAAACGAACUCAUCCUAACUCAUACAAAAAGCCUCGGAAUUCUUUCUUGUCUAAGAAAAAAUUCUAAAGUGGUAAAAGUUCUCUUUAAUCAUGCCUACUAAGAAUACAUAUGUACGUGUAAGUUCCUCCACUGAUCCUUCAGCAGUAAGGAUCUAGAGGUCUACCUGAAGUAGGAGGUAACCUCAGUGUUUCCGGAAUGAAGAGUGAAGAGGGGGGGUCUCACACAACGUUAGAUGCCAUAGAUUAUUCAUCACCAGCAGCAGGAACAUCAAGUGUUGCUAACCCUCUAAAUCUGUCGGCAUAGUGAAGGAUGCAUGGGUCAGACAAACACUGCACUCUAAAAAAUGUCACCGUAAAUUAACGGUAUUUUACUGGCAGCAAGGACGCCAGGAAUUUACUGUUUUUUAUGGUAUAAUACCGUAAAUGGUUUUUACACUAUGCUACCGUAAAAUUGAUUACUGUGUGUUACCGUAAACUUGAACCAAUUUUACUGUGAAUUAGCUGCCAUUUACUGUUAGUCAACGCUAGUAACUUACUGUUUUAUUUACAGUGCCCUACCGUAAUAUACGGUAUGAUGUUGUAUAUUGGAUUACAGUUUGUUACCAUACGAUUACUGUUUUUGUUAUUAAUACCAGCAUGUUACUGUUUACUUAUAACCGUAUACUUUUGCAUUUAAUACUCCACAAAUUAAAGAAAGACAACCAAACUCAUUUCGGUCAUAGUGGUUGGAGUUUAUUAGAUGCCUUUAAGACAAAAAUGUUAGGCAUUUGUAACCAAGAACAAAACAUAAAAUAUGCUGCAUGUAUACAAUAAUAAAAAAUUAAUCAUAAAAUUAUAAGGAACAAGGUAAACUAACUGCAACAAUACGCUAUGGAACACUUUAAAUUGGCCGCAGCAAAUGGCUGGCGUCCUUAAUCCAGAGCCUCUGUAAAACAAACCAAAAAGAAAAUAUUUAGAAACACUGUCAUUGGUAAAAUAUUAAAAUGACAAAGAUGGGGAAGACCACAAGAUGUAAGGAUAGAGAAUGUUAAUCAUGCCAGGCAAAUAACACUUACCAAUGUUACUUGGAGAGACGAGGCAAUGAGAAACUCUUCCGAUGUUGAACUGCACAGGUGUUCUGGAUGAACUGAGAUUACACGUCUGACGUCACAUUCAGGAGCAGUCGGUCACGAUUAACACUCAAAUCACUUUUAGGCAAUGAACACUUUGAAUAAUACAAAUAUUUAUAAUCUUUCCAUUCCAGCCACUGAAAGGCGGCGCAUGGGAUAGGGAGGGUGUGCAGUGCAGUGCAGCGCAAGGUUGGCGGUUUGAAUCCCGGCUGCUCCCUGUGCCAAGUCGAAGUGUCCCUUAGCAAGGCACCUAACCCCCAAAUACUCCACAUAAAAUUCUGUCAAACCAUGGGCGUUUUGGAUAAAAGUGACAGUUGCAUGUAUAGUAAUGUCCUGUAAGUCAAAGUCAUAAUCGUAUCUCAUGAGAUACUAUCUCAUUAUGAUGAUUUACAGGACCUGUUUUUCAGUGGCUGACGUGGGCUUCCAUAGAUUAACCACAACAGAUGUAGAUGGAUUGUGAUUCACUGCACUUGUAUGUGUAUUUCCACCACUUCAUAAAAUAUAUGUAACAUGCAGUUGAAUUACGGUAGUCUGCUAUUAUUGUAAAUUGACAGGUUUAACUGUUUAUUCAUGACAUUGGCCGUUAAUUUACAAGCAAGGGAUGGAAAUUUAACUGUAUGUUACAGUUAUUAUAACAUACUGUAAGAUACCGUUAGAAAUGCACUGUAAAUUUACAGCAAUUUGUUACAGUGUGAAAUAAGAGCUGACAGAUGUCCAGAAAGGAAUCGCUCUAUAAUAACAGCAACAAGUUGAAUACAACAUGACGGAAAAUGAUGUAAAGUUUACAAAAAAAGAUCAUCUUAUUGUACUAAUGUCAGAAGUGACAAUGUGAUUAUUAGUUAAAUACUAAAUCAUGGAAACUUUGAGGUAUUAUCAACAUCAUCCUGAUCAGUUCAAAGAGCUGGGGAUGCAAACCCGGGAUCAGACAAGACCACUAGGUGAUGGCCACCCGUUACAAAUCCAGGAGCAUGUGUGUGUCUCCCAGCUCGACGUGGAGACUUUUGGUCUGGUUGAAGUACACAGCCUUUUCAUUUCCCAUGUGGAUGUGUAACUCACACUGCUGCUUGUCGGGCUGCGGGCUCUGCGCUUUGCUGCUUCCUCAUGCAGGUUGAAUGCAUCUCUGCAUUGGACACAGCUGGAGUACAAAUGGACAUAAACAACAGCUAAUGUGGCUUUUACUGAUUGUAGAUUCAGUAAAUCAUAAAACCAUUUUCAAAAAACUGCCUUACUGUUUACUAGAGUCACACAAUGAUUAGCAAUGAUUAGCGGACAAACUAACACAUUGAUGCAACAGUAGACGCGGCAAGUUUUUGUAUUCUGUGCGUUCAAAUGACUGUUUUUUUCAAAGGACUUUGUAGAGAGCGAUCCAACAGAUUCAUUUCCCCGUCUGACACCAGGUCGAUAUCAUCCUCUGGGUAUCAAAGAAGGUGACCUCGUCCACAGCAGUACAUUCUUAUGCUUCUUUGCUGGUACUCCUGCGUGUCUGCUACUGCCUCCGGACGAUGGCGUAAAAAGUGCAUACAACCUAAGUCAUAUGCAUCUAAUAAAACACACCUUUUUUGUAUUCAUCAAAGUAAAGUUACUCCAUCCAUCCAUCCAUCCAUCCGCAAACUGCUUAUCCUGCACACAGGGUCGCGGGGGACUGGAGUCCAUCCCAGCCAACUUCAGGCGAUAGAUGGGGUACAUCCUGGAUUGGUCGCCAGCCAAUCGCAGGGCUACACAGAGUCAUACAACCAUUCACACUCACAUUCACACACCUCCGGGCAAUUUAGAGUCACCAAUCAACCUGAUCCCCAGAGCAUGUCUUUGGACUGUGGGAGGAAGCCAGAGAACCCACGCAGACACGGGGAGAACAUGCAUACUCCACAUAGAAAGGCCACUGGGCGGAGUGGAACCCAGGACCUUCUUGCUGUGAGGCGACAGUGCUAAACACUGACUGACUUAAUUUGUUUCCAUAAGUUGGUAAUUUGAAAAUCAAAUGCGUAAGGAUUCAUGAAGUGGCUAUAGAAAUGAGGAGUGGAUAUAUAUAGCUGGUACGCAUGCCCACUCCUGUCUAUAAAUGGGCUUUUAUGAUUGCAAUUGUGCUUCUGUCUGCAUAUGUUCGUCUCCGUAUCCACUGUACCUCCUGUCUCAUUUGCCCUGUCUUGUGUAAUCCACACCCACACAGUGAGUGUGCAUGUCUUUGUGCCUCUUUGCAUCAGCGUGGACCGCUGGAAACAGGCUCAUCACUGCCGGGUAAGAGGACGCGGCGGCAGUGGGGGGGCAGACAGAAGGUGGGCCAACCAAGGAAAGCGGAAUGUGGAUGCAAUCCUAAGUGUUAGUGAUGGACUAGACAAUGCAAGGUGAUGUGGGAUUUAAAUCAACUCUUCUUUCUUUUUUUCUUUCUCUCGAAGCACUUGGAGGCUGAUGGGAGAGGAAAUGGCCGUGUGAUGCUAUCCGCUGCAAUCCCUGCUGGUCUGUGUCUCUCCUUGUGUCUCUCUGCUUCCUUUCCUCUUUUUGUGGUGAGUGAGGAGACCACGGAUAACAAGCGUUGAACUAGAAGGUUCACAGAUCCUCACCCAAAAACCUAAUGAGUAACGCAUUAACGACCGGUUAAGAAGCUUUUGAGCGAGAUGCUGACACUAUAUUAACAUUAUGGCAAGGAGCAAGCAGCCAUCAUCACUCCUCUGCGGCUACGCACACACACACACACACACACACACACACACACACACACACACACACACACACACACACGUUGUCGGUCUAACCUUGGUGAAAUCUUCCCUCUUCUUCUGUUCCGCUCCUGUUUCCCUUCUUUCUCUUCCUCCCUCCCGUGCACACGCUUACACUGUAAACUAAAAGUUUCACAUUUUAGCAGUAUGCAUCAUCCUGAUGUACGCUGCAGUUUGGAGGCAGUUAUGAAAGCUACCCAGCAGAGUAUAGCAGGUAAACACAAGAUGACGUCUUCAUCUUAUUCGCCUACUUUAGAGAAUAAUAGAAGGUUACAUAAUGCAGGAGUAAACACUGUAAAUGUGAGCCCGGUCUUUGAUCCCAAAUUGAAACUGGCAUUAACAUUCAAUCCAAACCUGUGUAUGUCUAUUUGAUUAUGGGCCUUUGCAUUAAACCCGUUGUCUUUCAAGUGUUGUUGUUAUUUAUAUUUUCUUCACAAAACAUGGUCACACCUUGAUAUGCAUAUUCUCUUGUAAUAGCUAUUGCUUAUUCUGCAGCUAAGUGGAUAUACAGAGGAUUCAAGGAUGAUAGAUGACUUGGUCAAUUGCCGUAUCUCCAUACCAGAGGAAGCUAUGUCACAUUAAAUAUGGUCACAUAGGAUUAUUAAAGUAGAAUUUAUAAUUAGCCAGAAACAUGCAAGCAACAUGGAUGAAGCUGCAGCACAAUUAGUCACAACAGAAACAUAUAACUUAAUGUAUGAGCUGGCAGGUGAGAAUCAGAACAUAUUCAGAAUUUAUGGAGGCAAUAUUUUGUAUCUACGUUCUGCCAGACUCUCCACAAAAUGUCAGAGCGUAGUGGUUCUGGCGCUAACAUUGAGGCGCUCUUGAGCCAUGUACUCCAAUACGAGCAGAGACCAGGAGAAAACUGCUUUGGUCGGCGGCAUCAUGAAUGGGCGGAGAUUUUGAAAUAACUUUUAUUUGCGGCAGACAGAGACGACGGGGGUUCAUGUCUAUGCAUGGGAGCGUGCACACACACACACACACACACACACAUCUCAGCCAGGGAGACACACAGCUGUUUAUUCGGUAAGCACACAGAUCUGAGUAACCCUUGCUGCGGUUGAUCCUCUCUCCCCGUAGGAACUUGUCUGGCUUUACCCUCAGCCUGCCUGAGCCCCUCAUGGAAAAUGACACACAUGGCUCAGAGCUUGCUCUCUGCACCGCACACACACUCGAACCGCAAACGCUUAAGCACCUUUCUCUGUGUGUGUGUGUGUGUGUGUGUGUGUGUCUGUGUGGCUGCUCAGAGUCGUGGCGGAGUUGGGUUGUGACAGCUGAGUCUCAGGAGAGGUUGUGCAGAUCAGAGCUGAGCUGAGAACCAAGGGCCCGGCUGUAUUAGAGGAGGAAUUACACGACAGCAGCCCCACGCGAGAGCCUUAUCUCCUGGCUGCUGCCUCUCCCACAGCCCCUUCGCCCUGGAGGCCUCGGGGGAGGAUACAUAUCUGUCCGACUUACCCCGUGACGGUCUGUCUGACUUACCCCCUGAAUCUAUGUCUCUUCGACUUACCCCCUGGCUGUCUGUCUGUUUGCGCACACACGUAAGCCCUCUGUAUACUUCACAAUUUUGUCUGUCUCAGAGUUUUUAUUCACAAGGUGAAAUAUCUGUUCAAAGUGAUUUUUAAGAAAAUAAGUACUGUAUAUGACUGUGCAGAGACCUGUCAAUCACACCAAAGCAUCCAAUACUUGAUGGUCUAUAUGAUUCUAAAUGGACCAUCAUUUGCUAAAUUAACAGCAUGCUGUAUUAAAGAAGACUUGACACUUGAGAUCGAGACCAUAAACUGUUAAAUAAAUGAAGUAAGGUGUGACAUAAUUUUCGCAUAGACCUCUAUACAAUCAGUUUUCUUUUUCAAACAGAGGCGUCACAAAUGCUCAUCGUUAGCACAGGGUUAACGAUGAGCAUUUGUGUGUGUACGUGUGUGUGUGUGUGUGUGUUGAUUACGUGGGAAUUAGAACACACUCACAGCCCCUAUCACUCAUUCAUCCCACUAGAGUGCUUAGUGUUUCACCUUGUGUUAGCUGGCAGAUGGUGAUGCUAUGGGCAAUCACACUGCUAUCAUGAGACAGACAGAGAGAGAAAUGCAGAAUGGCAAAGCAUUCAUUGUAGAAGUCGGCUAGUAAAUAAAAAUAGUAAUAUUCAAACCUAUACAAAGGUUUAGCACUUCACAACCAAACUUACAAUUAAAAUAUCCAGAAAUAUUUGAAUACAGUUGAAGGUUUGUGUUUCUGUCCGAUAUCUUGAGUGUUUGAGGCUUUCCCUCUGCAGAAAAAAAGUAAUGAGAUUUAACCCAAGCAAUGAAGUGUCUGUGGAAUCGGCUGUUUAAUUGUCACUCAUUCUGCAUUCCACAUUCCAUUGAACUGAUAUAUUCUAAGGAGACAUAUGCUCAUUUUAAGGCUUGUAAUGGUAUUUGGGGUUUGCCCCUUAACACGCUCUCAUGCUUUCAUGUUAAAAAGAUUUUUCUCAAAUUGUCCCUGUAUUCAUCUUCUGUCUGAAACGCUACAUUUCAGCGCCUGUUUUUUUAAGCCCUCCACCACCCAAACCAGACCAGUCUCUGCGUGAGUCCAGCGUUGUAGUGGCCCAGGUUGAGAAAACAGUGAGUUUGAUGUGUGCAAAUCCACAGCUUUUCCGUGAUUCUCCCGGGUCUUUAUAUAUGAAAUAAAUCCAUUUGGUUCUCCUUGGAGGCCAUAUAGAGAAAUGUGCGGAACUGUGCAGCUGACUACAGCGCAUUGUGAGGGCGAUUCUGCUUCAUGAUGCUAGCUAGUUCAUCCGAGGUGCUUCGGCUUGUUGGGGGGAUGCUGUUGAGGGAGGGCCAGGGCCAUGUACGGGAGACACCCCCUUUUUCUGAUGGCGUCAGCAAACCUCAGAACAUCCAAACUCGUUAAAUUAAUUAGCAUUAAUUCAUUAAAACGUGCAAUUCUUUUUUCAGCGUUUGGGGUUUGGUAGACAUAACAGACAUCUACAUUACCAUCAUAUAUGACCCUUUCAAUCAAAAUGAUGGCGGUGCCUCUGACGCAGUCACGAGGAAACAGAUUAGCUGAGUCCAUUUUCAUAAGAAAUGAUAGAUGUUGUUUUUUUGGUUUGGGGUUUCCCUCAUUCCACACUUUCUGGCUACACCAAUGUAAAAGAAAUUUGUUGAAAGUUUGGUGGUGAGAAGGACAUCUGCCAUAACUCCUUGGCCAUUUGUAAAAUCAUUAUUGUCAAAAAUGGUAGAUAUCAAACAUUAUAAUUUGGAAAUAAGAUAUCUAAAGCAUUUUGAGCACAGUCCAUGCGCUACAAAUAAGACUAGAGCCUAAAAAGCAUCAACUGUUCUUACUGGGUUUCUCAAUUAUUAAAUAUCUAUAAAAUUCCUCUUAGUUUUUGCUUUAGUUUCUUUUUUUUAAAGAGACAAAAGAUUAGUGAAACCGUUAAUGAUACAAAGCAUGUAGAUAUAAUAUUACAUACAUAUUUAUAAUAUACGCAAGAAAAAUAUUGUAAUAUAUUUUAGUUGUAAGUAGUUAGCUAUGGCAGAAUUAAAUGUUUUAGUUUACAAUUAUGGAGAGGUAUUUUCCCGUCUUGAUCUAAAUCUAAACUCAAGCUGCAUUCACUUGCUUAGCAAAGCUUUCAACUGUAAAAGGAUCACAUUCAAUCUUUAACUUUUUCAGUAAAUACAAUUUGAUCCUGAUCCUGAUUAUUGCAGAGUAGUUACAUCACACUCUCUUGAACUAUGACCCAAUUACAUAAAAGUAGUAACAAUAACUCAUACAAUUUAAGCAAUUAAAUCAUUUUUUUCAAAGUCAGUGAAAACAAAGAAUCAUAUCACGUGUGAUAGUGUAGCAGGUUGACGGUUGUGCAACAGGUAAUGUAGUGUGCUUAAUGGUUUGUUACCUAAAGGUCUUGGUUGUGUUGGGAUGGCCGUUACAGCGUGUAUUGUCUUUUGCAGUGUCUCCCUGUUACAAACCCAAUCUUUCCUUCAACGGAACCGGGUUGAGUGUUGCUGCUGGUAGGUUGGACAAAUCUCUCUCCUCUUUGAAUCUUUUAAUGAAUGAGUGGUUAAGUAACCGGCCGUUUUAUUGUAGGCUCUGUGUAGCUGUACUAUCGGCACUGCAGGUGUAUUGGUGCGAAGCUCCCUGACGGGUAUGCAUGUAUACCAGUGGCGUCGCGUGUAUGUUCUUAAAUCAUAAACGGUCUUGUUUGGUUUGUUUGUGCAUGCCAGGGUUGUAAAAUUGCUUUGCGUGCGCUGGUAUCUGCACCAGCCUCCCACCCUUUCCCUGCCACGCUGCUGUUUUGUCUCCGCUGACUUUGGGUUUCAACUCCGUUCAACGGGUUGUAGCUACACAAUCUUCCUCCAGAAUGUCUCUACGCGCCUCACAGCGCGCGGAUCUGUUGCUCAAAGUGUCUGACCGGGCUGUCUGACUGCGACCCGGAUCAUAGUUUGCCUUUUUUUGGUUUGCCUGUGCUUGCUACUAUGUGUAUGGAGAUUGGGGUUUAUGUUUAUGGGUUUAUUUGUUAAAUUAUGAUUUAAGUGAUUUUGGUUUAUAUUUCUUUUGUUUAAGUUCUGAUAAACUCUUUUUGUUGAAAUUCUAUUAUCUGUUAUUUUUGUUGGUAGGCUCUAGGCAGCCAUUUAAGACACCUUUGCUGCCUAGAUUUUCCUGAGAUUAAAGUUGUUUUCAUUUAUUUUUGAUUUAUUGAUUUAUUUUCCCUCCCAAUAAUUGGAUGUUCUUCUCCCAUAGUUGCUGAGUGCCGAAGGUGGUGGUGUCGGUGUCCCCAGGUGGUGGUGUCUCUCUCCCGUGUGCUGUGUUUUACCCCGUUUGGUUUAAUUUGAGUUUUGUUCGCCGUGUGUUUGUGUGUGUUCACGUGUGAUUGGGGUGAUCCUUCCCUGAGACCCUGCACCCCAUUGACCCUGUCCCUCCAACGGUAGAGCCUCAGCACUUACUUCCCAUAUUUAGUAGGUCUGGUAUUUUAAAUGGUAUUUUAUAUUUGUUUUAGUAAUUGUAUUAAAUAAAAUCAUUGUUGUAACGGAACUACGUCUCUGGCUUCAUGCAUAAAUCUGACGUUUGUGCUUUCUGUAUUUUGGUGACUUAACUACAGUAAAAUCAUAUUCUCGGGGUGAAAUUCCCCGGCUGGUGUUGCCGGUGUCAGUGUUGAGCGGGCCAAAAAGGCGCUCCACACCAAAAGAGUUUCACUUGCCACAAUCGGAAGCUGGUUGAAAUAUAGGUUAUUUCUUUCUCCCCAGGAGAUUCAGUACAGCUUUGUGUGCACACACAUCUCCAAUCUCACAAUUGUAGUGUGCAAACUAGAAAUUUGUCAGGAAUGGAUUGUGUGUGUGUUUUGAAAUCUGCUGGUUUCUGUGUGGAUUUACACACGCAGAGUUUCAUUGCUUUUAAGGGUAUUUUCGGGCCAUGUUGUAUGUUGCCAUUUCAUGACACGGGCAAAAGAUGACUUCCCAAGUCCUGUGGGUUCUGUUCUUUAGUGGCUGGCAUACUUCCUACUGUAACAUGACAAUGGAACCUCCAAGGAUAAAUAAGUUUCUUGUCUGCCUGGAAACAAGAGCCCUGCAAAGUGGCCCAGAUUCCUACACCCAUGGACCGUCAUUGGUCCACAAUAGGUCCACUUGCAAUAUCUUUUUCAUUCAUUUGAGAGUUCAAACCAUUUUGACAUGCUGUGUCUACACGCAUGUGUGUGUGCACAUGUCUGUGGGGGUGGGGGGGGGGGGGGGUAUGUCAGUCUAGUGGACACACACGUGUACUUGAAAUCUGGGAUUAAGAAAAUGAAUUUAGCUAGUACAGGUUUGUGCUUAGUCCAAUAGAGGACAAUAUAAGAUAUGAAACUAGGAACUAUCUUACAAAAUACACUGAAUGUAUCUGUAGUUCACUUCCUAAAACUAUUGACCCCCUUCUGCCAAUUUAAUUGCGUCAUUAAAGACGAUAUUGGCCUGUAGUCUUGUUAAGAUAGAACUGCAACAGAAAGUUUUAACCCAUUGACCUUUAGUUUUCGGUUCCUCAACUUAAUUGGACAUUAACCCAAGGGGACAUCAAUCAAGGCCUUUUGGGCCUUUUUUGGCUGUGUUGGAGGACACUGACAGGCGCCUAUUUUUUUUUUUUAGAACAGGGUGUAUUUGUUGCUCUUAUCCCAUCCAUCAAGCUGACAUCUGAAUCCCAAAUUGAAAACCACCAGGAAUUAUUUUCUAUUUGGGUUGAUUGUGGAAUUUGCUCAAUUUGGUAACAUCAUUUCAAAUAAAUGAACACGCUCGGGCCAGAUGUCUGGGUGAGAAAACCCCCACCCAUGCUGAAUGCACCCACCAGCCACUGCGGUUUUGGAAGCCCUCAGUCUCACUGAUUCACCAUACGUCUCCAUUUCCUAGACAGAGAAUGGCGUUGAGCAUUAUUAAAUAGGCAGCUUCGAUAUCAUUUGAGCUGUCUGGGGUCCAGGGUCAUGUCUCUGACAUGAUGAAUGGGUUGCCCCCCCCCCUGCUCACACCUACUCAAAGAGAAACAUAAAGUUUUCCUCCAAACUAAGAGAAACUCCCUUUCUUUAACCCCCCCUUGCCCAGCUUCUGUCCUUUCUCGAAAGACAGAGGGACGACGGGGUGAUUUUGGGAGGGGGGCUGUCUGAUUGCUAUGCAUUGUUUAGUUUCUUUCAUUAAUGCUGGGUGCCAGUCGAGGGCUCCAGAUGAACAAUAGCUGGGGCCCUGGGCUUGGAUCAAUAGCAGAUUGCUGAUAGUGCCCCGUCCAUUCUCCCCACCAGAUUACAUGAUAAAUGGGCCAGUCCAUACACAGUGACAGGCCCGGGGCGAGCAGGGCCCAGGUAAGGCCCUGUAUCUACUGGAUACCACAUCCUGUGUGUGUGUGUGUGUGUGUGUGGGUGGGGCGGGGGAGGGUGGGGGUGCAGAGUGCAUGUGAGGGUAGGAAUACAAGCGUGUAUUUUCAAUGAUGGUGACCAGUGAAUGAUAUUCUGAGUAUAUGCUGUCUGGGUGUGAGAGAAUGUGAAUGGAUUUAGAUGAUGCAGCGGCUGCCGCUGUUGAUUAAGGUUUUUAUUUUGGUGUUGUGCAUGCAAAUGUGCUCAAGUUGCAACAGACUCACAAGACACAAAACAUGUAUGCGCAAUAAGAAAGGCCCAGAAUGCAUACAUAUGAAGGGAAUUAAAGGAUAUGGAAGUAGACAAUCUUGCCACCAUUAAAAUGAUGGAUAAAUGAGAAAUGAUAGAUUUUUAGUUACCCAUUUUAGAAAAAGGUUUCCACUCACACUUGCAGCAGUUUUACAUACAUGGAAAGGAUAUUUUAAGAGUCUGUCGAUUUGAUUGGACUCAUUGAAGACAAUACCUAUUGCAAUUUCUGUUAAAUUUUGGACAUUUUAGGAACAACACAAUAGCAAGACAGUAUGAAUACUUGGAAGAGAAUUAGACAUUGUGACUGUCGUUGGUGUGUUGUCGUCGUGUCCCUGUCUGUGUUGAUGUUUGCCAUGACAAUGGGGUGUGGAUCUCGAGAACACGCAGCUGCUCCGGAUCACUCACCUGGCUCCGGUUCCCUAUUUAGGAGCAGCCCGGAGAUCCAGUCUCUGCCGGAUCGUUAGACGCCAAUAGAUUAUACGUUGUAAGAUGCGUUCACCCUGCCGGACUUUGCCACGCCAAACCACCUGACACGGCAGUAUCUUGACGUUGGGUCAAGGACUCUGAGAAGGGACCCAGGGACUACUGCUGUUUUUUGUUGUUGUUUGACUCAAGGAAUAAACUCCUUUUUAUUACACCCCACUGAUCUCUGGGUCCUGCCUGACGUUUAGAAGCGUGCGGCCUAGGGUCUAAAGGCAAUCACACGUAUUUUGUAGGUAUUUGAUUAAAAGCUGAUCAGAGGACUUUACGGUCGACGGAAGUCAAAAGAUCAACCAUGAUUAAGUUGAACUCCUCCACUGGGGAACAGGCAUAUCUGUACAAGUAUCCGGUUUUAGUAUGGAACAAAAUAGUGAACUUUCUGAGUGGACAAAGUGACUGACAUUCCAAUUCAAUACUACAAUAGGCUGUGGCAAACCAAUAGCACUUUAAUCACUGAAAUAAUUCACAUAAACCAGUUUGUGUUUUUAGAGUUUUAACUGCUAACCUGGAUGAAUUUAGCUUUGACUUGGUUGCAUGAAAGUUAGUUGAAUUAAACCCAGCCAAGCAUUCAUGGAGAUGUAUUCUUUGCAGCUAGUCUGCUCCAGACCAGACUAAGAUUAAUCCUGGAGUCUCAUGUGUUAAAUCAGCUGCCGCUCUGAUCCGAAACAAAUGUGUUUAAGUUAUUCCGUUGUCUUCUGAAUCUUCUGAUUUAUUAUCAUUAAGAUGCAUUACUUGUCACUAUUGCUGUCACAAGUUUGAUUUUAAACCCUAUCCUUGCAGUUGUUUAGAUACCUUUUUUACGGUAUGUUAAUGUCAGACAAUAUUUCGCGGACCGAUCAAGUCCCAUUCACGUGUGUUUCUUCUUGCACCGUGAUGCCCAUUUCUGAAUCUUUUUUUGUCCAGUCUUGUUUGUUCUGUAUAAACCUUAAUUGUAAGAUAUUUAGAAUUAGACACAGCUUAUAGAGAUUUGUGCAUGUAGCUAAAAAACAUAUUCUCGCAUUGCAAAUAAGGGUUUGGCAGUGACGUAGCCCCUCCGUCGGCGGCAGGCCGCACCGGACGCCCCGGUGGGUUGGAGUUUGAGACCCCUGCUUUAGGGUAAAUUUCCAGAGCAACGUAAUUCCCUCUGCUCACUUUUAAGGCAAAGUAGGCUAAAUAAUAUGUUUUAUUUAUAUAGUGCUUUACAUGGUAGGCUACUCUAAGACACUUUUCGGUAUAACCACCACAUUUAGCACAUAAACAGAUACAAAAAUAAAACCAACACAUAAAACCAUAUUAACUUUCCUAAUAAGUAGAUAUUUUUAAAUCCUUCCGCAUUCAGUCGGUCCCACGUUUGUCUGUCAGGCUUUUUCUCUGUGUAAUUACUGCCAUUUUUCCGUUUUUUGCUUAUUAUAUGCUUCACCUCCUCACACAUUUCCAUAAUUAGUUGCUGCUCAGCGGGUGAAAAAUAUCCCGCACAGUAAAUCUGUGAUCGAUACCGUGGUCUAUUUGUGAAAGCCGUGGAUGCGGCCUUCCCAUUCCAGCUAUGUACACCUGGAUUGACUUGGCACCCCCUUCUCAGCCCGGCUCGGCAAACGUGAAACCGAUUAAGCCGCGAUGAGCCGAUCACACUAAGUCAAGCUGCGCCUUUUCAGUUGUCCUGGAUGUUCUUUAUUCUACAUUUGUGCAACAACCCCCUGGUCGCAAGGGCCAGAGUUUGGCUUUAAUGGAGCAUAGGCAGCAGCUGUUCUGAGCUGUAAACAAUAAGCUGAGAUGAUGAGUAGCUGUUGCCAUGCUCCAUGCUGCUUCCGAAUCAUGUCAUAUGAAGUGAAAAUGGGCAAAGCUUUUUAUUCAAUGAAUAUUUUUCUUCUAAAAAGGGCCUUUAGAAAGGAUCAGUUACUAUACUAACAUUUUCUUCUACAUCCCACACAUGUUCCUCUUGAAUGUCUUAGAAUGAGCCAACCUCUGCUGCUAGAGGAAUUAUUCCUGUUCUUUGUUGUGCAGCUCAAGCGUUUUGACUUGAUUCAAGGCUAUAUUUGUACUUAAGAAUCAAAUGUGCUUCAUUUAGAUUUUGACAAUGUAUUUUCUGACAUUUAAACAGGCUUAGGGAUGGAUAAAAGCUUGCUUUUGUGUUUCCAUGACAACAAAUGUUAACGUUGAAAAAAGCAAGAAAUAAUUAAGACUUGAAUAAUGAAUCAUUGCUGAAUCCCAGAAACACAGUUUUAGUGCGUGGAGUCCUGUCUUUGUUAAUGAUAUCAGUACGUAUUUGCGAAAGUAGACGCGCGUGUGUGUGUGUGUGUGUGUGUGUGUGAGUGAUGGAGGCGGGGGACCAAAACAAUGAGUCCCCUCUAAUGGAUACAGAGACGACCACAGCAGAUAUAUGGUUCCAAAUUGGCAAUUUACUGUAGCUACAGUAGGACACCGUGUCAGCUGGGUCUCAGUCUAAUGGGGGUUAAAAACCGUAAGUGGAGCAAAGAGCGCGUUGAACCCCGACACAAGUUAAAGCAAACAUACAUAUUGAUCCGGUGUUUGCACCAAAAACGUUUCCAAUUAUUCCCUCUCGCCACGGCAGUAACACGUAACUACAACAGUUAUUUUUCCUUUUCACAUGUUCAAAAUAAACACUUGGACAAUCCCCCCUCACCCCCACCCCCCCACUCCCGCCAUCCUUCAAGGCCUUUUAUGAGUUGUGUUCCAUAUCCAGAAAAUUGAUGGGAGGGAAACAAAGUGAAAGUUGCUAUAAUUCAAGGUCCUUUAGUAAAGCCGGGAGCACCGAUAGCUAGUUAAUCUACUCAUUGACACGUUGUCCUCUGGUGCGGCUGAAGGACGCUCUUUAGACUAAUGACCACACAUAUGGCGCGUUGCCCAUUUAAAAUAGCAAACAAACACCUCCUGGCCAUGGAAGUGUGCGAGUGCUCGGCGCAACGGUGUGUGUCGACGGGAAACACACGUGUGCAAACCAAAGCGCACACAGACACACAACGCCGCGUCUUCUCCCGGACACGUAAAUUUGCACACACGCAGGAAGUGAUGAAUGCGUUGAUACUUAAGUUUUAACUGACAUUUAUAUGUAAACACGUCAGCUUGGAUUGAUUUUAAACAUAAUGACUGAAUUCAAAUUUGGCCUCCAAUCAUUCACUGCACAUACCAAGAAGUUAAAGAUGAGAAUAGGACAAAAUGUACUAAUGGCUGCUGUACAAGACAACAGGAGCAUCAGAGAUCACCCUUACCCCCCACCACCCAUCUUACAGUUUCUCAUUUAUCUUUAUCUUAUUGUUCUUUAGUUUUUUUCCCUGUCUUCUGUUUACGCGGGAUGAGGCAAGCAGACAGGCCAAUACUUUAAAGGUGUAUGAUUAGAUGUCUGCCGUCCUCUGUGACGCCGUUGACUAUGCGAUUGAUGGAAGUUGGACGUUCAAGACUGAUUGAGUGCUUGAGGGCUUUGGGGUUUUGACAAAAAAACCCCCUGCUUUUUCAGGACAGUUGAUGUGACACGAUGAGGGGUUAAAGUGGGUGUUCUUUGGUACUUUGGUACACUACACAGUGAGGACAUUGUGAUCGCUGCACAGCAGUCUGCACAAAUAAAAGUUGUAUUGUGCGUUUUUUAGAAACAAAUAGAUAUGUGGAAUGUGGAUAUUUUUGAACCAAAAAUGUGUUUCGCAAAUAGAAAACAACCGUGACUAAUUUAAAUGGAUUGCAACCGCCGUUUACUUUAUUAUGUAAAGCUGCGUAAAAAACCACUAAAUCACUAUUUCACUUUGCUUUCACACAGGACCUGAACGUGUAUUGGGUGUACAUCCUGUGUUGAAUCUUUAAACCUCUUAUCAUACCCCGUAACUUUAUAGGCACUUUAUUACCGUGUGCCUAAUUUAAUUAAGAAAAUACUACACUUGGUUUGUGCGCUUAUUGUACAUUAUCGCUAUCUCUGACCAAACAUUCAGCACGUCCGUGAAAUGCCAACAAUUGUUCUUAUUAUAUUUCUACUAAACAUAUAAUCCAAUAUUGUGUAAAUAAGCAGUCAUAUUAAAUACAGUUAUGUUUGUACUCUCUUCCCAUCCAUACACCCAAUUUAUCAGCGUAAUUAAUUUGCCAAAAAAAGACACUCCACUUAAAGGGGACAUAUUAUUAAGGGGGACACAUCAAAGGGGAUGUCCCUUUGAUUGUGCUUCUACACGUUAAUGUGGUUGUCUGGCAUUUUUAUCAACCCCCAAACGCUGGAAAAACAACUUUACAAUGUUAUUCUACGAUUCUUGAAUGAAUUCAUACUAAUUAAAAAAACAUGUUUCGAAGGGGUUUAUCCAGGUUUGCCAACGUCAUCGUACCAAGGGAGGAGUCCCUUACACACAUCUAUUGUUUGCCUUGCACAAAUGCAUGCAGUAUGUCUUAAAAUGAGCACAUGUCUCCAUUAUUUUUAGCUGUGAUGAUUGUGACAACCCCGAUUUGUGGUGAAGGUUACUUUUUGUGAAAUAAUUGAACGGUUGCGAUCCAGAGUGUUUAUAAUGAAACUUUGGUAUGAAAGAGUAGCGCUUGCGAAAAUCUCAGAAGUAUUUAGCAGAAGUAUGUUUCCACUUACUGUACGCGGUGUGCUGCUAUGAUUAUUCACGCUGACAGUCGCUUUAUGCACUUUUAAACACCUUCAACACAAUUAGAAAAACCCCCGUGUAAAGCUCCCAAUUCCACACCCUCUGCUGCAUGCUCUGUCGCCGAUUCUGAUGGUAGUGUGCCGGGACAUGAUGCAUAAAUCCAUUUGUACAAAUCCUCCCAUAACAUUACCCACAAAAAUCCGCUCUUUUGACACUUUAUUGUGGGGUAGUAUUCUUGACAGUCAAGGAACUUCAUUUUGCACCAACACAAGUACAUUUAUACGAGAAGUAGUGCUGGAUGGGGGGCAAGUUGAUAUGAGACAAAGCGAACGAAUGAGAACGC
ensembl:lncRNA